UGGGGAAUUUUUCGCAAUGGGGGAAACCCUGACGAAGCAACGCCGCGUGGAGGAUGAAGGCCUUCGGGUUGUAAACUCCUGUCGACCGGGACGAAAGUAGUCCGACCCAACACAUCGGGCUAUCGACUGUACCGGUGGAGGAAGCCACGGCUAACUCUGUGCCAGCAGCCGCGGUAAUACAGAGGUGGCAAGCGUUGUUCGGAAUUACUGGGCGUAAAGGGCGCGUAGGCGGUCUUGUAAGUCUUGUGUGAAAUCCCUUGGCUUAACUGAGGAACUGCACGAGAUACUGCAAGACUUGAGAUCGGGAGAGGGAAGCGGAAUUCCGGGUGUAGCGGUGAAAUGCGUAGAUAUCCGGAGGAACACCGGUGGCGAAGGCGGCUUCCUGGACCGACACUGACGCUGAGGCGCGAAAGCUAGGGGAGCAAACGGGAUUAGAUACCCGUGUAGUCC
rnacentral:rRNA from 1 species